rnacentral:rRNA from 1 species
GGGGAAUUGUUCGCAAUGGGCGCAAGCCUGACGACGCAACGCCGCGUGGAGGAUGAAGAUCUUCGGGUCGUAAACUCCUUUCGAUCGAGACGAAUUUCCCGGGGGUGAACAAUCUCCGGGGUUGACGGUACCGAGAGAAGAAGCCCCGGCUAACUCCGUGCCAGCAGCCGCGGUAAUACGGGGGGGGGCAAGCGUUGUUCGGAAUUACUGGGCGUAAAGGGCUCGUAGGCGGCCAACUAAGUCAGACGUGAAAUCCCUCGGCUUAACCGGGGAACGGCGUCUGAUACUGGAUGGCUUGAGAUCGGGAGAGGGAUGCGGAAUUCCAGGUGUAGCGGUGAAAUGCGUAGAUAUCUGGAGGAACACCGGUGGCGAAGGCGGCAUCCUGGACCGACACUGACGCUGAUGAGCGAAAGCCAGGGGAGCAAAC